AGUGAACGCUGGCGGUAGGCCUAACACAUGCAAGUCGAACGGCAGCACAGUAAGAGCUUGCUCUUACGGGUGGCGAGUGGCGGACGGGUGAGGAAUACAUCGGAAUCUACUUUUUCGUGGGGGAUAACGUAGGGAAACUUACGCUAAUACCGCAUACGACCUACGGGUGAAAGCAGGGGAUCUUCGUACCUUGCGCGAUUGAAUGAGCCGAUGUCGGAUUAGCUAGUUGGCGGGGUAAAGGCCCACCAAGGCGACGAUCCGUAGCUGGUCUGAGAGGAUGAUCAGCCACACUGGAACUGAGACACGGUCCAGACUCCUACGGGAGGCAGCAGUGGGGAAUAUUGGACAAUGGACGCAAGCCUGAUCCAGCCAUACCGCGUGGGUGAAGAAGGCCUUCGGGUUGUAAAGCCCUUUUGUUGGGAAAGAAAAGCAGCAGGUUAAUACCCCGCUGUUCUGACGGUACCCAAAGAAUAAGCACCGGCUAACUUCGUG
rnacentral:rRNA from 1 species